ACAUCGGUUUAGCUCAGUGGUUACUUCUUACUUGUACGUUUCUAUCCUACGGUCCGCGGGCUGAAGGGUUCAACCACGGGCGCUGUCCGAUGUUUUA
rnacentral:vault_RNA from 1 species